GAUGAACGCUAGCUACAGGCUUAACACAUGCAAGUCGAGGGGCAUCAGGAAGAAAGCUUGCUUUCUUUGCUGGCGACCGGCGCACGGGUGAGUAACACGUAUCCAACCUGCCCUUUACUCGGGGAUAGCCUUUCGAAAGAAAGAUUAAUAUCCGAUAGUAUAUUAAAACCGCAUGGUUUUACUAUUAAAGAAUUUCGGUUAUCGAUGGGGAUGCGUUCCAUUAGUUUGUUGGCGGGGUAACGGCCCACCAAGACUACGAUGGAUAGGGGUUCUGAGAGGAAGGUCCCCCACAUUGGAACUGAGACACGGUCCAA
rnacentral:rRNA from 1 species